rnacentral:rRNA from 1 species
GAUGAACGCUGGCGGCGUGCCUAAUACAUGCAAGUCGAGCGAACGGACGAGAAGCUUGCUUCUCUGAUGUUAGCGGCGGACGGGUGAGUAACACGUGGAUAACCUACCUAUAAGACUGGGAUAACUUCGGGAAACCGGAGCUAAUACCGGAUAAUAUUUUGAACCGCAUGGUUCAAAAGUGAAAGACGGUCUUGCUGUCACUUAUAGAUGGAUCCGCGCUGCAUUAGCUAGUUGGUAAGGUAACGGCUUACCAAGGCAACGAUGCAUAGCCGACCUGAGAGGGUGAUCGGCCACACUGGAACUGAGACACGGUCCAGACUCCUACGGGAGGCAGCAGUAGGGAAUCUUCCGCAAUGGGCGAAAGCCUGACGGAGCAACGCCGCGUGAGUGAUGAAGGUCUUCGGAUCGUAAAACUCUGUUAUUAGGGAAGAACAUAUGUGUAAGUAACUGUGCACAUCUUGACGGUACCUAAUCAGAAAGCCACGGCUAACUACGUGCCAGCAGCCGCGGUAAUACGUAGGUGGCAAGCGUUAUCCGGAAAUAUUGGGCGUAAAGCGCGCGUAGCGGUUUUUUAGUCUGAUGUGAAAGCCCACGGCUCAACCGUGGAGGGUCAUUGGAAACUGGAAAACUUGAGUGCAGAAGAGGAAAGUGGAAUUCCAUGUGUAGCGGUGAAAUGCGCAGAGAUAUGGAGGAACACCAGUGGCGAAGGCGACUUUCUGGUCUGUAACUGACGCUGAUGUGCGAAAGCGUGGGGAUCAAACAGGAUUAGAUACCCUGGUAGUCCACGCCGUAAACGAUGAGUGCUAAGUGUUAGGGGGUUUCCGCCCCUUAGUGCUGCAGCUAACGCAUUAAGCACUCCGCCUGGGGAGUACGACCGCAAGGUUGAAACUCAAAGGAAUUGACGGGGACCCGCACAAGCGGUGGAGCAUGUGGUUUAAUUCGAAGCAACGCGAAGAACCUUACCAAAUCUUGACAUCCUUUGACAACUCUAGAGAUAGAGCUUUCCCCUUCGGGGGACAAAGUGACAGGUGGUGCAUGGUUGUCGUCAGCUCGUGUCGUGAGAUGUUGGGUUAAGUCCCGCAACGAGCGCAACCCUUAAGCUUAGUUGCCAUCAUUAAGUUGGGCACUCUAAGUUGACUGCCGGUGACAAACCGGAGGAAGGUGGGGAUGACGUCAAAUCAUCAUGCCCCUUAUGAUUUGGGCUACACACGUGCUACAAUGGACAAUACAAAGGGCAGCGAAACCGUGAGGUCAAGCAAAUCCCAUAAAGUUGUUCUCAGUUCGGAUUGUAGUCUGCAACUCGACUACAUGAAGCUGGAAUCGCUAGUAAUCGUAGGUCAGCAUGCUACGGUGAAUACGUUCCCGGGUCU